rnacentral:rRNA from 1 species
UCAAGCGAACAAGUGCAUGUGGUGGAUGCCUUGGCGAUCACAGGCGAUGAAGGACGCGGUAGCCUGCGAAAAGCUUCGGGGAGCUGGCAAACGAGCUUUGAUCCGAAGAUGUCCGAAUGGGGAAACCCACUCCGAAUGGAGUAUCCAUGACUGAAUCCAUAGGUCAUGUGAAGCGAACGCGGUGAACUGAAACAUCUAAGUAACCGCAGGAAAAGAAAUCAACCGAGAUUCCCAGAGUAGUGGCGAGCGAAAUGGGACCAGCCUGUACUCUUUAUUCUUACUGUUAGUCGAAGGCUCUGGAAAGUGCCGCCAUAGCAGGUGAUAGCCCUGUAGACGAAAACAGCGAGGAAGAACUAGGUGUACGACAAGUAGGGCGGGACACGUGAAAUCCUGUCUGAAGAUGGGGGGACCAUCCUCCAAGGCUAAAUACUCGUGAUCGACCGAUAGUGAACCAGUACCGUGAGGGAAAGGCGAAAAGAACCCCGGGAGGGGAGUGAAAUAGAUCCUGAAACCGCAUGCAUACAAACAGUCGGAGCCUCGCAAGGGGUGACGGCGUACCUUUUGUAUAAUGGGUCAGCGACUUACAUUCAGUGGCAAGCUUAACCGAUUAGGGCAGGCGUAGCGAAAGCGAGUCCGAACAGGGCGUUCAGUCGCUGGGUGUAGACCCGAAACCAGGUGAUCUAUCCAUGGCCAGGAUGAAGGUGCGGUAACACGUACUGGAGGUCCGAACCCACUAACGUUGAAAAGUUAGGGGAUGAGCUGUGGAUAGGGGUGAAAGGCUAAACAAACCUGGAAAUAGCUGGUUCUCUCCGAAAACUAUUUAGGUAGUGCCUCGUGUAUCACCUUCGGGGGUAGAGCACUGUCAUGGUUGUGGGGUCCAUUGCGGAUUACUACGCCAUAGCAAACUCCGAAUACCGAAGAGUGCAAUCACGGGAGACAGACAUCGGGUGCUAACGUCCGGUGUCAAGAGGGAAACAACCCAGACCGCCAGCUAAGGUCCCCAAAUAUUGCUAAGUGGGAAACGAAGUGGGAAGGCUAAAACAGUCAGGAGGUUGGCUUAGAAGCAGCCAUCCUUUAAAGAAAGCGUAAUAGCUCACUGAUCGAGUCGUCCUGCGCGGAAGAUGUAACGGGGCUAAGCAAUAUACCGAAGCUGCGGAUGCACAUUUAUGUGCAUGGUAGGAGAGCGUUCCGUAAGCCUGCGAAGGUGCACUGGAAAGUGUGCUGGAGGUAUCGGAAGUGCGAAUGCUGACAUGAGUAGCGAUAAAGGGGGUGAAAGGCCCCCUCGCCGUAAGCCCAAGGUUUCCUACGCAACGUUCAUCGGCGUAGGGUGAGUCGGCCCCUAAGGCGAGGCAGAAAUGCGUAGCUGAUGGGAAGCAGGUUAAUAUUCCUGCACCAUUGUUAAAUGCGAUGGGGGGACGGAUCGCGGAAGGUUGUCCGGGUGUUGGAAGUCCCGGUCCUUGCAUUGGAGAAGGCGCUUAGGCAAAUCCGGGCGCGGAAUUCAAGGGUGCGAGGCCAUUCACUUCGGUGAAGAAGCAAUCGGAAGUGGUUCCAAGAAAAGCCUCUAAGCUUCAGUUUAACAGGACCGUACCGCAAACCGACACAGGUGGGCGAGAUGAGUAUUCUAAGGCGCUUGAGAGAACUCGGGAGAAGGAACUCGGCAAAUUGGUACCGUAACUUCGGGAUAAGGUACGCCCCUGU